rnacentral:misc_RNA from 1 species
GAUGAAGAACGUAGUGAAAUGCGAUAAGUAAUGUGAAUUGCAGAAUUCAGUGAAUCAUCGAGUCUUUGAACGCACAUUGCGCCCCCUGGUAUUCCGGGGGGCAUGCCUGUCCGAGCGUCAUUGCUGCCCUCAAGCACGGCUUGUGUGUUGGGCCCCCGUCCCCGGUUUCCCCCGGGGACGGGCCCGAAAGGCAGCGGCGGCACCGCGUCCGGUCCUCGAGCGUAUGGGGCUUUGUCACCCGCUCUGUAGGCCCGGCCGGCGCCAGCCGACACCCAACUUUAUUUCUAAGGUUGACCUCGGAUCAGGUAGGGAUACCCGCUGAACUUAAGCAUAUCAAUAAGCGGAGGA